UAGGGAAUCUUCGGCAAUGGGGGCAACCCUGACCGAGCAACGCCGCGUGAGUGAAGAAGGUUUUCGGAUCGUAAAGCUCUGUUGUAAGUCAAGAACGAGUGUGAGAGUGGAAAGUUCACACUGUGACGGUAGCUUACCAGAAAGGGACGGCUAACUACGUGCCAGCAGCCGCGGUAAUACGUAGGUCCCGAGCGUUGUCCGGAUUUAUUGGGCGUAAAGCGAGCGCAGGCGGUUUGAUAAGUCUGAAGUUAAAGGCUGUGGCUCAACCAUAGUUCGCUUUGGAAACUGUCAAACUUGAGUGCAGAAGGGGAGAGUGGAAUUCCAUGUGUAGCGGUGAAAUGCGUAGAUAUAUGGAGGAACACCGGUGGNGAAAGCGGCUCUCUGGUCUGUAACUGACGCUGAGGCUCGAAAGCGUGGGGAGCGAACAGGAUUAGAUACCCUGGUAGUCCACGCCGUAAACGAUGAGUGCUAGGUGUUGGAUCCUUUCCGGGAUUCAGUGCCGCAGCUAACGCAUUAAGCACUCCGCCUGGGGAGUACGACCGCAAGGUUG
rnacentral:rRNA from 1 species